CAGAGGAAGCCGGAAGAAUGUAGAUUGAUAGAAGCAGGUUCAUUUAAGUUAUAAGAGCUAGUUGGGAACAAGCCUAAGCUAAGGCCACGCUUUUGUAAUUAAUAAACAGUCUCUAUGUCAUUA